rnacentral:rRNA from 1 species
CAUAAUAACUUGUCUUUUAAUUGGGGACUGGCAUGAAAGGCACCAUGGGGAUAAGCUGUCUUAUAAAGAUUUUAUAAAAUUUAUUGAGAAGGUGAAAAUACCUUCAGGAUUGAAAUAAGACGAGAAGACCCUUAGAAUUAUAACAAUACUUCUUGUGAUUAGGGAAAAAGUUUUUGUUGGGGCAACAUUAUCAGAGUGAAAACUGGUGAUUGUAAUUAUUACAAACCCAUUAUAGUAAAGGUGAAUUUAAUUACCUAAGGGAUAACAGCAUAAUUCAGCUAUGAGAGUAUGACCUCGAUGUUGGACUAGGGACUUUUUACAUUAGACGUGUAAUAAGAUUGUUCUGUUCGAACAAAUUACCCUACGUGAUCUGAGUUCAGA